UCAUCUAGAUAUUUAAAGGUCGAUGGUCUUUCUCUUUGACGCGGAAGUUUGGGGGGUUUGGAGAUGAUCUAGGCCUAUAGAGAUAAGGCUAAGGCUUCGCCUAAUGGAUUGUGUCGUAUGUUGAACGAGGGGUAUAAUACUUUGAGACCUGCCGCCAGUCCUUCAAACCUAAAGAAAACCAUCUGUUGUCGCUAUGGCCGCAGUUAUCAAUGAUGAGGUUGUGGCACACACAGAGGGUGCUGACGAAGCAAAAGGAGAUGCUGCUCAAGACAAUGAAGCUGAACAUGUUCUCUUGGAAGGAAAAGUCUCUAUGUCUAAGAAAGAUUAUGUACUGCAACUCACGACCUCUUCACUUUCCUUAAAGGCUGAUGUAGAUCCUGGAUCAUCUAAUAAGGGAUCCAAAAGUAAAGACCUUACCUUGCCGUGGACAGAGAUUCUCCGAGCUGAACCAGAUCAAAAAUCGCCUGCGGAAACUCGCCACCACUCUCUGUGUUUGCACUACAUACAUCACCACUCUGAAAAGACACUGAGGGUCAAGGUUGCCAACAUUGUCAGUAAAGAUUAUCACGCGGAAGAAUGGAUCAACGUAAUUCAAAAACAAUGUGAAAAAGUGCCUGGUAGACCGAAGAAAGUUUUUAUAUUAGUAAAUCCUAUAGGAGGAUCCAAGAGAGGAAGGCAAACGUGCCAUAAGGUUGUGGGACCUCUCUUUGAAUUAGCUCAUGUGCACACCACAGUCGAAGUGACGGAAAGAUCCAAGCAUGCUUUAGAAAUUGCAGAAAAUCAUGAUUUUUCUCAGUAUGAUGGGAUUGUUGUUGUUGGGGGUGAUGGACUGUACCAGGAAGUGCUCCAAGGACUCAUCAAGCAGACACAGAAAAGAACUGGAGUGAAUCUCGAUGACCCAGAUGCUCAGUUGCAGCCUCCUGAUAUCCCGAUUGGAAUAGUUCCAGCUGGUACAGGCAACGGUGUCAGUGGAUGGUGCAACGGAACGAUAGAUGUCGAAACCUCUGUUCUUAAUAUUAUUAGAGGUGAACGUCACAAAGCAAUGAUGUACACGAUCUACAGUGGUAGCAAAUUUCUUUGCGUGUGUGGUCUUGUCUUUGGAUAUGGUAUGUUUGGAGAUAUGAUUCAACGGACUGAUGAGCUUCGUUGGAUGGGAAGAGCAAGAUAUGCAUAUUGUCUGUUUGGCUCUGUCGUGAAAAAGAAGAGGAGAUUCAAUUGUGAAAUUGAAGUGCUUCAGGCAGAAGGAGGUUCCUCCAAAGACUCAGAUGGAAAAAAUGCCUCUCAAAAAGAAGAACUAAAGUGGACCAAAUAUGACGGUACAAACAAAGAAUUCUGUGGACUUUCCUUCUUCGUCGUGGACAAAAUAGACCUAGGGGACCGCUACGUGGCCAAUUACUUUGGGGAGCAAAGCAUGCUGUCUGUGGACACUGGAGCCAGCAAUGUUGGUAUGCUCCGGACUGUUUUUGCUGUGCACAGUGGGAAGAAAAAUUUUCCUACAGUGUCAAACCUCGAUAACUUUGAGCGUGUACGAGGCUUCAAAAUAAAACUUACAGGACAAAGAGAAGAGACAGGGGAUGGUGCAUCAAGCAGCUUGGCCAGGGAGAAGAUGCUGGAACAGAUUGUGGAUAUUGAUGGAGAGGCUCUGCAUUUUGAUGGAAAUGACCUGGAAGGAAGACUGCAUGCCCACUUUUUGCCAGUGUUUGGUGUGUAUCCAGCCAAAGUAGCUUGCCCACCACAGUAGAUCUCCGGACGAUCUCAGUCUCAACAGUUAAAUGUGAUCACUUGUGUUGUUGCCAUUGCUAGUUUGUGACACUAGCAGCGCACUUCGCAUGAAUGAAAGAUCAAAUCUUAACGUGGAUCUCUGACAACUAUGGAGGAGGUAUCGAUGUUAUACUUCAGCAAGAGCGUAUCUGGGCACCUGUAGGGACAAGCAACAACAUCAAACAACUGCUUGUAUCCAAUCCAAAAUCUGGUGCUUCCUGGCGACGAGGUCCAAUUCAUCUCUUGCACCACUUUGGAAGGGAUCUGUCAACUGGACGUGACGUAGGCCUACUUUCCUUACGACUCCUGGACCUGUAGAUUCAACUUGGCUGAGUUCAGUCUUCUUUGAAAAAUGUACGGUAGUGCUGUUAUUGUUAUUGAUGGAUACAUUGAACAUGGUGAAUGGACAUAAUAUGUCGAAUAAGUUCAGGCAUGGCGUACAUAGGACUAAUUCCAACUCUGAAGUUUCCUCUCUCUUAUUUCAGAUGUUUUGUCUGCUCUGCCCUGAUUUGAAACAAUACUCACUCCUAGCUUUUGUUCCAUGGGCUCUAACCUUUAUGGCAUGUUGUGGCGUCAGUGGCCUAGAGGUUAGGCUCUCAGACUCACAGCCAUAAGGUCGUGGGUUCGAAUCCCAUCAGGGACCCGGCGUGUCUUUAGGAAAGACUCUUUACAUUACUUUUCCUCGCUUCACCCAGGUGGGAAUGGAUACCCAGCUAUCAACAGUGAAAGGUCUUGUCAGUUUGCUGGUGUUUGAACGCUUAAUCAGCUGCUUGCACUGUAUGCCCUCAUUGGAAGCUGAGAAUGUUUAUGAGUGUUCUAUGGUCUCUUGGGGUAAUAAUAUUAUAAUGUAAAGCGCAUAGAGCUUGCUGUCGAGCGGGGAUACGCGCUCUACAAAUUCUAUUUGUUAUCAUUAGUAUGUAGUUAGGUGAGGAAGGGGAAGAGGGCUGCGGCUUGGGCGUAGAUGUUACCCAUGGGUUACAGUAGGUACUGAUGUUACUAUUGUUGCCCCAUCCAUGUGAGCCCUGAGUGGAGUGGGUGUGGGGAAAUCUCCCCAUUGCUUGUGAAAAUGUUCGAGAGGUGCUCCAGCACAGAAACUUUUAUGGGUAGCCAGAGAUUUGAAAUUUGAACAAUGCCUCCUGCCCUGAUGUGGUCAUACGGCCAGCUGAGAAAAAGAAAAUCCUCGCAGCCAAAGUAAUGCUUGGGGGGAAAAGUCAGUUCUCAUUGGGGUAGCCAUGUUGGUGGGUGAAUGGCUAUGGGAAGUUUGAAUGAAACGAGAUUCUCGAUUCUCGUGCUGCAAAGAGAAAUGUUAAUAUUCACAUCGCUCUUCCCAGACGCGCGGGAACAGCGAAAUCAUCAGCAUGGUUGAAGGAGGGGCAUAAUAAUAAAAAUUUGUCUGCAAACAAAUCAA